rnacentral:misc_RNA from 1 species
UUGCUCAAGAGAAGUCAUUUAAUAAGGCCACUGUUAAACGUAGGUGAGUCGUGGCUUUAUGCCGUUAGGCG